UGGGGAAUAUUGCACAAUGGGCGCAAGCCUGAUGCAGCCAUGCCGCGUGUAUGAAGAAGGCCUUCGGGUUGUAAAGUACUUUCAGCGGGGAGGAAGGGAGUAAAGUUAAUACCUUUGCUCAUUGACGUUACCCGCAGAAGAAGCACCGGCUAACUCCGUGCCAGCAGCCGCGGUAAUACGGAGGGUGCAAGCGUUAAUCGGAAUUACUGGGCGUAAAGCGCACGCAGGCGGUUUGUUAAGUCAGAUGUGAAAUCCCCGGGCUCAACCUGGGAACUGCAUCUGAUACUGGCAAGCGUGAGUCUCGUAGAGGGGGGUAGAAUUCCAGGUGUAGCGGUGAAAUGCGUAGAGAUCUGGAGGAAUACCGGUGGCGAAGGCGGCCCCCUGGACGAAGACUGACGCUCAGGUGCGAAAGCGUGGGGAGCAAACAGG
rnacentral:rRNA from 2 species